GUGAGAUUUUCUUGAGCCA
rnacentral:piRNA from 1 species